UGUUAAAAAAAGUUCCGACCUUUUGGUCGGAACGUGAAGUGGGAAGUUUUUAUAAAACUUCACCCACGAAAGUUUGCCCUGAGCCUCUCUUCGCAGCAGGCCGCCAUCAACCAGAGCCCUCUCGCUGAGCCAUCCCUCUCCUCUGUUGUUCGCUGCACUCAGCCUCCUCUUCUUCCGUCCUCGUUACCCUUCCAGCAUCCCUCUUCACAGAGCCUCCUCACUUGCUUCUCCUCUCUUUCUCUCUCUUUCCAUUUCUAGAAAAUGGCUUUCUUUCUCAUCUCUCUCUGCAGAACUACUUCAUUCUCUCUCCAUCUAGCUGUGUAGCCCUAAAUCUCUUUCUCUAUCUAUCACCAACCUCCCAUCCGUCAUUGACAUCAGAGCUCCAGCAGCAUAUGCACAUGGUUUCUCAUUGUUGCUCAAGGUGUAGGUUAGAUGAAGGUUCUGCAAAACCAACAUUCUCCAGUCAAGAUGCAGUGACAGCAAACGAAUUGAUAAAAGAGCUUAUUGAUUGGAAAAUUAUUCAUGAUGAAAAUGGAAUGGCACUUGCCAAGGUAUUGAGGCAAUUCACAAGUACUUAUUCAAAUUUCAUAUUUGAAUAAGAUAGCAGAUUUUCACUGGUGAAUAGGGCACCAAAUAAAUCAAUAGUACACAAAGAAGCUAUCGGUGUCACCUCUAGUGGUGUGAAACCCAUCUUCCCAGCAGUUGCAGCCAUGGCAUCAUCAUCCUUCUUCUCUUUCUCUCGAAUUCCAGCCUGUCUUUCUCGCACUACCCUAAAAAGGCGUUCUCUCUCUUCUCGUUGCUCUCCUUUCGUCCAACCUCCUGAUGUGGCUUAGUUAGCAGAGAGUGCUCGAAUUUCACUUACCGCAAAUGAGAUUGAAGAGUUUGGUCCCAAAAUCAAACAAGUCAUAGACUGGUUUGGACAACUUCAAGCUGUUAAUCUUGAAAGCAUUGAACCUGCACUUCGAGCCAGUUCUGUCCUAACUUUUGAAUGAAUUUGAUACUGAUGCAUUUAAAAGAAAAUUAUGUCGAUCAAAUUCAGAGCAUGGAGUUCAGCUGUUCCUAUAAAAUUCCCUUGUUUUUACAUGCAGACAAGUAUGGAAUCUAAUCUUUUCAUACUGGAAGCAGCAUCUAGUAAUAAUUGAAGAUACCAGAUAUGGUUCUGGAUAUGAAGCAUGGGGAUAUGAGUUUGUAUUUGUCAAAAUCAGGGACACUGAUACUAGUGUCCUGUCAUGUACGUCUAUAAAUAUAAUCUUGUGUAUUACAUAAAGAUAUGCAUCCAGCACAUCAAUACACAUACCAUAUAUUAGUGCAUACUUUGCAUUUGGUCAUAAUAUUUUUUUAGAAAUAUCUCAUUUUAUAUUUACUCGUGUCCUAGCAGAAUCCUGUAUCAGUAUUGAUGAUAACAUGAUACGAAACCUGCAUAUUAAACAUGUACAUGUCUCCCAGCAUCGCAAGUAAUAAGUAUGGUAAGAAGAAAGCCAUGACUUUGGUUUGGUAGGUGUAAGAUGCGCAUUUCGUGUUGAAAUCUGCAACUGACAUGUCCUUGGAAGUGUUAAGACACUUAAUUAAAAGUACACAAAGUUUUUGGAUGUUUGAGUGGAGUGGUAAUUCUUGGGCAUGAUCAAACUCCUGAUGCAUUUUGGACAUCAACAAUCUCUUUGAUGCCUGAUUAAGAUUGGGUUUUAUGCCUUUGUAUGAGUGAAAUUUGUUUUCUGGACUCAAUUGGAACAUCUGUUUAGACAGUAUAUUUUGUCUCUAUCCCACAUAUGGAGCUUUGCCUCCAUCUCACAUAUGGAGCCUGAUAACUCCUAGUUGUUCGAAACUUAGAUUGCCAUAAUGAUUUCAGCAUGUGGUCCACUAUCUCUUUGUCCCAUGCAUUGUUGUAGAUGCUACAUGUUAUUCAAGACUAUAUGAUCUGUUUUGGUUGAAGUAUUCGUAGAUAUUAAUAUAUUAUUGCCACAGAUAGGUGCACAUAGAAGUGGAUAUUUGGUUUGACUUAAAUGAACACUAUUUUGCAUAUGAGGCGCAGUUACUUUCAUUUUCCUCAUUAUGGAUAACUUGUUGAAACCUUUAUGCACUUGUGUGCGACCUAACCUGGCAUCUCAUGUUGCACAGAUCUUAAACUUAUUAAAUCUAUGCUUUGAGAAGGCCUUAUCUGAUUGUUAUCUGCCUUAUACCUAACUUGGUGAUCGUAGUUUGUUAUAGUUGUAGCAAUGCUGAUGUAGGCUUGAUUGUGUCUUUGGGCUUCCCUUGUAUCUUGUAGUAUGCCUCCUGCCAUUUCCAAAUGUUGAGGCGAAUUCUGCUCUAUGAGGCUCCCUGCUUUUGAGAGUAUGCUUCCUGCCAUUUCCAAAUUUUGAGAUAGAUUUUGCGCUAUGAGGCUCCCUGCUUUUAAGAGUAUGCGUCCUGCCAUUUCCAAAUGUUGAGAUAGAUUUUGCACUAUGAGGCUCCCUGCUUUUGAGAUUAUCAUGUUAGUCGCUUGUUUAACAUCCAGUUCUGUUUUCAACAACGUGAGAGUUGCAUAGUUUGCUAAUUCAGUAGUUUCUUAAUACCAGUUAAAGGCCUAGUGAAUGAUUGGUCAUGUGGGGUUGUAGGGUCAUUCUGUUACAUGGUUCAGUCUUUCGGUUGGUUGGCAUCAAGUGUGUGACUAAAUGAUUCAGAAUCCUAUUUGCCCAAGUGAAAUCAAAUAGCACUGGCUAAUAUAUAAUAUUGCAGUUCUGUAAACCCGAGGGUUAUGUGCAUGGGUAAUCUUUAACCCUAUUUUCUUUCUAGAAAUAAAUUUGACACAAGGAGGGAGGGACAGAGAGAGGGAUGCUAAACUCGAUAUCUAUUACCGGAGGAAGUGAGAAUACACGAGCAGAUGAACCUGAAAUUUUUGGAAACAGAGAGGCCAUGAUAGCAGCAGUUCCAAGCUACAGCGAGCCAUUUAUCAAGUUCCCAAAGCCUUGAACAAGGAAUAAUUUUUUAAAGGGUGCUCUCACCCCAAAAAUCUUAGGGCUUCAUGUAGACCUGUCAUUCUUUUGCUGAUCUCCUAAGAAAUUUUACAUUACCUGCAAAAUUGCCAAAGAACUUGUACAUUGACGGAUUGAUGAAAAUUCAUUUCAUCCAUGGGUACCUGAUGCAGGACUUUUUUCAUAUGAACAACACAAAAUAUGAUUAAAGUGACUUAGAAACCCAUCUUAAUGUCAUUAAACUUGAAAGGGCUAUGAAUCA